AUACGACCUGUGCCAAUCAUAUCCAUCUCGUUUGUGCAAGCAUCAUAAAGAGUCACAUCAUCAGUGUCAAUCACAGAAACUCCUAACAAAUCAAAAUCAAAGUGGGAACCAUGUGGGACUGCAUCAAGAAUAAGACCUACCCUUAUCAUGUCCAUUUCGUCAGUACAAGCAUCAGGUAGAGUCACUCCAUCAGCAUCAAUCACAGUAUCCAUAAGUAUAUCAUAAUCAAAAACUGCCUCCGGGAAGCAUACGGAGAACAUGCUGGUUCAGUUGGGCAACAGGGGUGCAACUAUCAUAACAUCAGGUGUCUCAGGGAUCCCGGUACCCAAAUGCAUCUGUCCCAAGGUCCAUUGGAGGUCCUGAACCUCAAUAGCCUUUGAAAUACAAACGAUCCCCUCCAUGUGGGGUGCAUGAUCUGAACCUCUGACAAAGUAAUUAGUCAACUGAAAGGUGUACGAGUGAAGUGGGUAAUCAAAUGGAACCCCAAACAAGCAGGAACUUACUCUAUCCUUGCGCAGUCAUGCCAUGUAAUGUGCAUCCUCU
rnacentral:lncRNA from 1 species